UACACUACAGCCUGGGUGACAAGAGUGAAACCAUCUCAAAAUGAACAGAAAAGAAAAGAAAAGACACAUUAACUCCUGAUUUAAGCAACAAAUGAAUUGGUUGUGAUUCUCACUUGUUAAACAAAGAAGACUCACCAUAGGAUUACUUUAUGUCAUUUAGAAAAAGACAUUUUUAAUUUUUUUUCUGGAAAUGUACCAUAGAACCCAACAAGUGGUAUACUAAAUUAGUACUAGUCUUCAAAAUAUAUGUAGUCUCAUUAAUGUAUUGAUUUCAGAAAAAUUAUGUCAGCAACUUAGGUCUUUGCAUGUGAUGUAACAAUUAGUUUUCCGCUAGGCUGAUAGAAGAAAGUAAAGAGAGGCAAGAAUUUGUUUCCCAAAUUAUUGUGCUUAGUUUUUUGUUGUUGUUUAACCCCUUUUUCCAUCCCCAUCUCUCAACCUGAAGAAGAGGUGAAAGGAAUAGGAGGAAGAAGGAAGCAAUCAACUGUUUGGUAGAAUAAGAUAAGAAAUUCUUUGAGGGUGCAAAAUUAUUUCUGGGUAGUUCUGAACUUGGUUUCCUCAGAGAAUUAUGUGGUGGAUAUUGGCCGUGGCACAAGCCUAUGUUGGAUUACUUUGCUUAAAGUUUUUAGCCAGUCAUUUGAGUUUUACCACGGCGUGGGAUACUGAGAGGUAGUGGGAGGGAGGAUGUACUCCUCUCCACUUACCUGCACCGGGCCAGCCAAUCAACCUCUUCACACUCUGGGUCCCUGUCUGAACAGAGGACUUCCAUUUGUCAAUACAGAUAAUUCCUCUGGGUGUAACCUUAGCCUACACUUUAAUUUUAACUUUAACAAUUUUGUUUUUUCUGAGAGCUGCAACCACGGCACAUCUUAUCCAACAGGAGCCAUUCCUACACAUUCAUUUAAUACAAACUCAUAAUACAAAAAUCAGUGUGUUAAGUAAAGCCAUUCCUUAUGAAGAAAAGUAAAUGCCUCUGAUAAAAUAAUAUUUCACCCUCACACAUCGCCAUAUUAUGAAGAGAAAAUGUACUCAAACAGAAGAGUUAAAUACCAAUAUUAUGUGGUAUGGGAUUUAGUACAGUAGUAGCAAUGAAAGAAGAAGACAGUACAGGCCAGAAAAAUCAAGGAAAAAGAAGGCUUCGAGUAAGAAUGACUUUGAGUUGCAGUAACCUUAUGUGGGUUAACUGGUUUUGCUUCUUGUGGCUGUAUUGAUGGAGUUAAAGAAUCAGCCCUUUUUUCUUGAGUACUUUACAUUUUUGUGCAUUAUCUUUAGGCUAUGGUUCUUGAUGUUGAAAGAAAUAUGAUGUCUUCAAGGCUUCUCUCUAGGAUGCCAAAGAGUGGCGCCUUGGGUAUAGGAAGAGAGCAUGUGUUAGAUCUGCUGGAGUGUGUGUAAUAGAGGUAGUUGGAGCUGGAGUGUACUGAUUCUUUACUUUUUGUCAGUUCUUGGCAUGCAUUAUUGACAGUGGAGAUUGAAUAGUUUGGAGUUGG